AAGGCGUUACUCAAGUUUUGGGAAAAGCUCCUGAAAGAAUACUCUUUUCAAAUGAGCAGCUACUACUGAUGAGUAGUAACAUAGUGAAUACGUUCUGAUACACGAAGAAACCAAAUGGAAUAUCCUAGCUAAGGCUACUGAGAUCUUCCUGAAGGAUAUGGGUCAGAAUAGCUCUGCUGAACAUCAGCCAUUGCCAUAAUUCUGAGCAGUGCAGACUUGACAACUAAGUGGCUGUGGUUCUGACAAGUCACUUAAACUCUGUGCUUAUGAUACCCUAGAUGUUGAGAAGAGCAAUAUUCAUCUUAUGUGUUUUACAAAAUGCACGUGGUGAUAAAUGGGAAAGGAGCAACACACGUUCCAUGGAAGAAAAGUGGCCCAAAAGAACAAAACACUCUGAUGCCCUCAUUUGGCAUCACAGAGGGAGAGGAAUAGUAAAUGCCAGCACUUUUCAAAGGACCUUUCUGUUCAUUAAGCUCUUGGUGACAAUGGAGGAGGCUGUUUCUGGGCCAGAACCAGGACAGGUGGGAGGCAAUUCCCUCCAGUCUCAGAUUGGGUUUUAACUUUCAUUUGGAAAUAUAAAAGGAUUCUGAACUCCUUUAGAUGGUCAGGAGAAAGCAACUGACAUUCUUCCUCCUGAAAUGUAGUUACUGAGCAUUUUAACCACAGGGAAGCUCAUUAGUCCAACUCAUUAUAUUGCUCAACUCUGCAUCAAACUGGCAAUAAAUGCACAAUUGAGAGUGA